rnacentral:rRNA from 1 species
AUUGAACGCUGGCGGCAUGCCUUACACAUGCAAGUCGAACGGCAACACGGGAGCAAUCCUGGUGGCGAGUGGCGAACGGGUGAGUAAAGUAUCGGAACGUGCCCAGUCGUGGGGGAUAACGUAGCGAAAGUUACGCUAAUACCGCAUACGAUCUAUGGAUGAAAGCGGGGGAUCGCAAGACCUCGCGCUAUUGGAGAGGCCGAUAUCAGGUUAGGUAGUUGGUGGGGUAAAGGCCCACCAAGACGACGAUCUGUAGCUGGUCUGAGAGGGCGACCAGCCACACUGGGACUGAGACACGGCCCAGACUCCUACGGGAGGCAGCAGUGGGGAAUUUUGGACAAUGGGCGAAAGCCUGAUCCAGCCAUGCCGCGUGCAGGAUGAAGGCCUUCGGGUUGUAAACUGCCUUUGUACGGAACGAAAAGGUUUGGCCUAAUAAGCUGAGCUCAUGACGGUACCGUAAGAAUAAGCACCGGCUAACUACGUGCCAGCCGCCGCGGUAA